ACGUAGGGUGCGAGCGUUGUCCGGAAUUAUUGGGCGUAAAGAGCUCGUAGGCGGUGUGUCACGUCGGCCGUGAAAACCUGCAGCUUAACUGUGGGCGUGCGGUCGAUACGGGCAUCACUGGAGUUCGGCAGGGGAGACUGGAAUUCCUGGUGUAGCGGUGAAAUGCGCGGAUAUCAGGAGGAACACCGGUGGCGAAGGCGGAUCACUGGGCCGAUACUGACGCUGAGGAGCGAAAGCGUGGGGAGCAAACAG
rnacentral:rRNA from 1 species